AGGGUUGUGGCUCAGUGGUAGAGCACUCACUUACCAUGCGUGAGGCACUGGGUUCGAUCCUCAGCAUCACAU
rnacentral:tRNA from 1 species